GAUAAGUGCCUUUUAAAUCAGAUCACCAGAAUAUUUUUGCUUUAGGCAGAAAUGAUAUAAUGAAUACUUUAUCAUUAUAAGUGUUUGCAAGCGUAGGCCGUGUGCAAGAGCGUUUAGGAAGACGUGCAGCUUUUCCCCACUGUCAGGUACGAGACACUGGAUUACCAUGUCACGUGAAGCUGAUGUUUUAUCUGCCUGAGUCAUGAACCACUGGAAACAAGGGAGAAGGCAGCAAGGGAGCACUGAAACGAGCAGGUCGCCUCUUAGAAGAAGGCCCAGUGCAGCCUCAGGCACUAUGUCCAAGGGACAAGAUGUUAAAUUCGAAGCGUAUCAGCUGCAUUUGUGUCAGUGACUUUUCAUCAGAAACGCUAUAGAAGAAGCCAUUGGGGUUUGCACAGCCACCAGCAGUGCUGACACUACAAGGUACUGCCGCACAGGUCUGAGGGGCUGCCGACACGGUUACUCCUGCAAUGCUCUCACAACUGAAGCUGCCAUAAAACAACCAGCACAUGAAGGAUGCUCAAACCAUUCAAAGUAUUAAGACCUUUAGCCUGCAUAGUUUUAAGGCACUAAGAGAUACGAGAGCAAACAGCUAAUAAAAACAAACAAAAGAACACAAAGCUUGAGAGGUUUGCUAGAGAAGAAAACAGCGCGUACAGGGGAGUGGAGGACACGCGCGGGUUUCUCCUCUCAUCCACAGCAUUCCUGAGCUAACAAACAAGAAUAAGCCCAAGCAGAAGCAAGAUGAGAUUACAUGAAAAAAGUCCUGUAGGACCACUGCUUACAUGCAAACACUUUUACUACUGGAAUAACUGUUGUCAUGGGGAUUUAUAAAAAUAUAAGGUAGCAGGAAAACUUCAGACUUGACUUCUCCCUCAUCCCCCUAAGAACCUUUCUUUGUACAAGAGAUCUUGGAUCGUGUCCAUGAGAACUAAAACAGACACUUUCAGCUGAAGAAGAUCAGAGGAGUUAGCCUCUGAAUUGAACCCCCUUUUAACAUUCCAGAUUCUUUUUAAGAUCACUUGUAUUCAGGCUGCAGCUUCAACCACGGUAAGUUUUUCAGGCAGAAAAACUUUGCUUUUUGCCUGCCUAAACAGGAUCUGUGUUUUCCUGAACUGCUGCUCCAUCGCACCCAUUGUUCCAGCACUGUCCCCGAUGGCCGAUGGGGAAACAAUGCGGGAGUUACCACGAAGGAACCCUGGUUUCGGAGACCAGAUGUGGCCGCGUAAGCAGCUCUUUUUGUCCUUACAAAAGUGCGAGAGUCCGAGAGCCCAGGGACCACCAGUUAAUGAAGAGUUACGGAUUUUUUAAAGGGUGAGGGAGAAAGAAGUCUGGGCUGGCCGCAGUGACUCCAAGCAAACAGAUCCAGGUUCAGAUUUUGGUCAGAGGACCGGUGGUCAAGCAAGAGCAGGAAACAGCCAGCUCUGAGAGGAAACCAACCUCCCAGCCCAGCUGCUCACUGCACCCGCUCCGAGGCACUGCUGGCUUCUAGAGGCGCCUGUUGGCAGGGAACUCCCUGCAUGAUCCGCACUUCGCUUUUUAUUACCAAGCAGCAUUUAGCAACACAAAUUUUGUAUUACCAACACCUCAGGUCAGCAGAUUCCCAUUGUUUCGUGCCAUUGCCAAAAACUGUGAGCACGCCCAGCACGCCACCCGCACCCAUAGACACCCUGCAUGCGUGCCGCCUGCCCGGCUCCAUCCUCUGCCAUGACAACCUCUGCACUGAGGGCUUUGUUGCUCGCAGCAGUGGCUGGGAUGGCGGAUCCCCAGCCAGCUCCCCCUGCAGCAAGGGAACCACCAAAACCUCAGCCAAAUGAAGAUUCCUUACUAUUUCUGCUCAGCGUCGCACCAGCUGCUGGCGUCCGAAAAAGGCAGAUGUCGACUGUGUCAGAUCAAAACAAGGAAAGCAGUCGGAGCACAAAACUUGGGUUUCCCUGCCAGCUGCCAUCGAGUGACCCUGCAGUCAUGCUACUGGGCACUGCACGGCCCUCUAGCACUUGAGUUGACCAAAGGAGUCUCAGAUUAACAAGAUUUUCUAUCAACGAAAAGAGGGCAAAAAGUAAAGAAGUUGGAGCUGAGGUGUUUUGGUCCCUCUCAUUCUGACACAAUUUUAGGUACCUGCUGACAUUAAAAAAUCUAAUCUGGAAUUAUUCCUGUAGCUCAUUUUACAAUUGGCUAAUGAUUUUUAGUGGCAAAGAAUAUCAAAUUGAAGACACAGUCUUCAUGACCAUCAAUGAUUCGAGGGAUUCCCUAAUUUUCAGAAAGGCAAAUUGGAAGAACGGGUCUCAGGCUGCAGGCAGAUUCACUAGAAAAGCAUCUUCAGUUACUUUGGUUUAAAUCAGCCUAAAUAGGUGUCACAUGUGUGAGAUUAGAGGUGGCCUACAUGCCUCAGUUCUUUCAAAUAAACGUUGCUUCCCUCUCACCAAGCUGUUUGAGUGUCAUAAGAGCUGGUUUCCCUCUAAAAACUGUCUGGGAGAAGGGCUGACAGUGCCUAAUGUGCACUUCCAAAGGGAGAUUAUCGCUUUCUAACAUCAAAGUAGAGCUCACUGUUAAACUGUGCAAAGAUAUCAAGCUUUUCAUAAUAAGGAUUUAAACUGUAUUGUGGUUUUUGGUAUUUUUUUUUCCCCAGGUUUGACCACACUGUCCUCCUUUUAACCCUUUCCUCUGACCAGGCUGUUCCAGCCAGGUGGAAAUACAUCUGAUUUUGAGCCACUGGCAGCCCAACGAAGUCUUGUAUUUCUGUAGCUUGCCCAUUGCAGCUCUGCAACCCUCUGGGGCCUCUCCUGGUCCUGUGGCCUCCAAAGGGAGAGGACAGAUCCCCAGCCCCCCAUUUACAGCCUUCUGGAGAUACUCGUCACACCCAUCCUCUUGCUUGUCUCCGAAGUAGGGACACGAUGGUUUUCUAAGGAACGUCCUCAGUCCUCAGCAUACGCUUCCUCACAGAGGCCCCUGAUACAUAAACUGGUAUGAAACAUUCCUCACUACGAGCCCCAAUUAACUGUACACAUGCCAUGACCCACAGCUAUGACAAAAUCAUACUGCAGGAAAAAAAACUCUGACUAUCUCUCAGCAUCCACAUUUGGACUAUUAUUCUCCACUUCAUGUCCCUUGCGCACUUACUGCCCCUAAAGUAAAGAGGGAAGAAAAAAAAAAAGAAUCCUGUAAAGUCAAUCUUCAGUGCAUUUAUUCAUUAAAAUAUGGUCAGCCUACAUGAGAGUUUUACUUGGAACGAAAGGACGGUUGGAGAAUUAGUCACAGCCUGGGAGGCAGGAGAGGGCAUUGUUUUAUGGAGACAAGAAAGGCUUUGGAAAGCAGAUGAUUCUAAUUUACCUUCUUGACUUUAUUCAGCCACUUUCAAAUAGAUUUCUCUUUGCGUGGACUGUAAUGUUUAUAGCUGCGAGGAGGAAGAAAGUUCACUUUUAACCCCUGGAAAAGAACAAGGCUAAGAAGUAAAUCUGGGAGGACUCUGCUUUUGCCUCAUUUGGCAAAGACUUCAGCUCAGGUGACCAGCUCCUGGAAAUACCGACUGACUUACAAAUAAACGGUGAAGCCAAAAGUGGGGACUUCUUGCACUUAGUGUAAAAUGAUAAAUCUCUGUUUCAAAUUUGAAAUUAUAUUCUUUCUCAUUUAGGUAUUAACUGAACUAUAGUAUUAAAAUGACUCAAUUUAAAACAUUUAACAUCUAUAUUUCAGUUGACUUCCAUUUUAUAGGUUUAUGUUCUGUUCUCAGACACAGAAUUUUGAUGGAUGGAGCUGUAAUUUUUCAGCCUAUUUGGAGUAGGAGUUUUUUAAUAUAUCUCAGUAAAGUGACAGGGUAGGGAAAUCACUUUUUGCCCAGCUCUAGUUAAAAGAGGACUUCUGAGACAACUUCAGGAAGAAAUUUAUAUCUUAAAAUUGAACUAUGAAAAAGGCAGUACAAAAGAAAAACGUCACCUAUUUUAUCCUGUUAGAUUUGUUAAAAUUGUGAUAAAAACAGUCUGUGUUUAUGUAUGUGUAUAUUUGUUUAUUUAAUGUGCAUUUUCCUUAGAUUAUUGUAUUAGAUUUUUUGUUCCUCUCUAGACUGAAAUACAGUGGUAACCAAGAAGCUCACUAAAUGGUCACUUCUCAUAACCUUAUUUCUUAAAAGAGAAAAGCUGAGCAAGCAGAAAGAAGGCUGUUCUACUCUGGGUGUUCAAAGCCAGCUUUUUGGCAACUUCCUAUAUAACUCAGAUGCCCAAAGAAAUGUUUGAAUAAAAGCUCUUUGCU